rnacentral:rRNA from 1 species
AUUGAACGCUGGCGGUAUGCUUAACACAUGCAAGUCGAACGGUAGCAGGCCUUCGGGCGCUGACGAGUGGCGGACGGGUGAGUAAUGCAUAGGAAUCUGCCUUUUAGUGGGGGAUAACGUGGGGAAACUCACGCUAAUACCGCAUACGUCCUACGGGAGAAAGCGGGGGCUCUUCGGACCUCGCGCUAAAAGAUGAGCCUAUGUUGGAUUAGCUAGUUGGUAGGGUAAAGGCCUACCAAGGCGACGAUCCAUAGCUGGUCUGAGAGGAUGAUCAGCCACACUGGGACUGAGACACGGCCCAGACUCCUACGGGAGGCAGCAGUGGGGAAUAUUGGACAAUGGGCGAAAGCCUGAUCCAGCAAUACCGCGUGUGUGAAGAAGGCCUGAGGGUUGUAAAGCACUUUCAAUGGGAAGGAAUACCUGCGGGCGAAUACCCUGUAGACUGACAUUACCCAUAGAAGAAGCACCGGCUAACUCCGUGCCAGCAGCCGCGGUAAUACGGAGGGUGCGAGCGUUAAUCGGAAUUACUGGGCGUAAAGCGUGCGUAGGCGGUUCGUUAAGUCAGAUGUGAAAGCCCUGGGCUUAACCUGGGAACUGCAUUUGAUACUGGCGAACUAGAGUUGAGUAGAGGAGAGUGGAAUUUCAGGUGUAGCGGUGAAAUGCGUAGAGAUCUGAAGGAACACCAGUGGCGAAGGCGGCUCUCUGGACUCAAACUGACGCUGAGGUACGAAAGCGUGGGUAGCAGACAGGAUUAGAUACCCUGGUAGUCCACGCCGUAAACGAUGUCAACUAACCGUUGGGUUCUUAAAGAACUUAGUGGUGGAGCUAACGUAUUAAGUUGACCGCCUGGGGAGUACGGCCGCAAGGCUAAAACUCAAAUGAAUUGACGGGGGCCCGCACAAGCGGUGGAGCAUGUGGUUUAAUUCGAUGCAACGCGAAGAACCUUACCUACCCUUGACAUCCAGAGAAU